UCUCAAAUCCCUCAACCAAACACAGCAUAAGGGAUCAGAAAAUGGAGGAGAAUGCAGGUCUGAUCGGAGAUUGAAGAGGUCGGAGACAGAAACCUGGCCAGAGGCAGCUAGAUGGAGAACGGGACAGAUGGUUGGGAUAGGGAAGGGGAACAGAGUAUCCCAACCCCUCUCGCUUCUCUUUUUCUUUCUUCUUUUCCGAGCUUGUCUCUCUACGGAGCUCGCCAUAAAUGCUCUGUUCCUCACAGCCCUAUCUAUAGCUUCUCUUUCUCUUUGUUAUUCUCAGAACUUGUCUUCUUGUGUGUAUAUACUCCUUCAUAUGACUCUCAGAACUUGUCUCUUCGUUCUUAUUUAUAUACUCCUUCGUAUUUGAUUACAAACACAAGCUUGAAAUCUUCAACUGCUCUUCCAUGGACGUUGAGGCCAUGGAUGUUGAGGAGAACCCGUUGAGAAGACGAAGGCGUAAUGUUCUAUGUGUAAAGAAGAAAGCAAGAAUAAAAUUCACAGAUAAGAGUUUUGAACCAGAGGAAUGAGAGGAAGAAGAGAAAGUAAAGCAAGGUUAUACUUCCUUGUAAGAGAAAUUAAAGUUCCGAUUUAGUUUUUUCAAAAAAUAUAUUCUCAGAAAAGUAGAAUGCGUUAGCAAACGCAUUCUCUUAAGACACAGAGCUUCCUCCUCAAUUUCUUAUUUUGAAAUGAGUUUUGAAGAUGAUCGGUUCGAUAAAGUUCCGAUCAGUAUUUGAGAAGAAAAAAUUGAGGAGCGGCUCUGUGUCUUGAGAGAAUGCGUUAAACGCAUUCUACUUUUCUGAGAAUAUAUUUUUUGAAAAAACUAAAUCGCCAGAGAUGCAUCUCUAUCACCGAAAGAAUUCCACGACCGUUUCGAAAGUGGGUUAAAUACUGGCUAUUGAAAAGGUGGGUAUUUGACUCAUCUGGUAUGAAGGUUGUGGGUUUCAGCGAUGAUGUUUGCUCUGUUUUUAAGCAGAUUGGUGGUGGUUUGAAUCCUCUACCGUCGUAAGUUUCAUGGCAGCCUACCUACUGGGGUGAUGGUGUCGCGGAGUCAAAUGGUCAAGUUUGUCAACUUGACCAGUUUUGCUAGCCUUCCUUUCGCAAGUCGAUUUUGAAGCUGGUUUGAAGAAAGAUAUUGAGGAUUUCAAACAACUUGUUCUGAAGAUAAAACUGUCUAGAAACUCAACUGUUCCGGUUGUUUUGACUUUGUUUUGCUGUCUAUGUGAUGACGCCCAACUAACCACGGGAGUUGAGCUUGUGUACCUACUCAU